AACCUGUACAAACAAAUCAGCAAAUAUUAAAAAUAUGUCCUUCCACUAUUUCUUUAGCCAGAAUAGUGUAGAGUCAUAUUCCAUUUUCUUGGUGGUAUUGUGGAUCUCUGGCAUCUUUUUCAAUGAAGUGCUUGCUGCUUUUGGAGGACUUCUGUAUAUUGUGGGCAGAGAGAUGUACUUUACUGGCUAUAUUCGUGAAAGCAAGAAAAGGUUGCCAGGGUUUUACUUGGUGUUGUGUGCCCUGUUAUUCCUAACUGUGAUGGCUACCGUUGGAAUUAUUCAAUCAUUUUUGGACAAAUAUCUCAACAUCAGACUUCUCUGAAUAAUUUAAUUUAAAUUUUCAAAAUAGUUUUCACCAAUUUAUUAAACAAAAUGUAUGUAAAAUGUAUUCUUACAUUAUGCAUGUU